rnacentral:SRP_RNA from 14 species
AGCCGCACCACCCUUGCUGGAGUCCCUGCAGUGCUUGCAGCAGAGACUUGCGGACAAGGAGAGGGAGGUACUCGAAACGCCCAAGGCUGGCGCAGAGGUCAUCGACGCAAACCUCUGGGAGGAAAACACC